rnacentral:lncRNA from 1 species
GUGCAUUGUUGCAGACAAAGUUGUGCAAUUAUGGUGGGCUUAUAUGUUACAUACUCGUAUGUAAUUCCAUGUGCCUGCAUGUACUUUGAUGCCUCAAGAGAUGCUUCGAAUGUGUAAUAAAGGGUUGUUCGCAGGAGUUGGGCUGUCUGGUCUUAAAUUGCAUUGUUUUUACGAUAUUUUAAGAUUGUAUUCAUAUGGCUGGACCAUCUUGCCAUUAUCACAAUGUCUGAUGUUCAAACAGGCUUUAAAAUCAGG